CCCUGGAUGACAAUUUCAAUUAAAAUGCUUUAUGGCGGCCAAAUAAAUGGCACUUUGGUGCCGCUUCGCAGUGUGCACGAUGCAUGCUGGAUGUUGUGUGCACAACGCUCAUGGAAUGUGAAAAUGGUAAAUAACAUCUCACAUGCGACAUGGACACGUGGACACACACAAACACACACACACAGCCCGGAUACAGUCACCCACAAAUUUAUUUGCACAAUUCACAAAAUGGGGGGAAAAAGCCAAUUAAACUGGCAAGUGGAGCUCAAUUCGGCUCUGAGCGGCUCGGCUCGCACCGGAAGACAAAAACAAAUUUGCAUAGAUGAUUAAAAACUUUCGCCCCUGCCUCCAUUCCCUUUCGAAUCGGCGGACCCAAAGGCCAAACGCACAGCCUCCCCCCCAUCCAUUGUGCCAUCAAUCAAUUGAGAAAUACUGGCAGCAUACUGGAAAUCUCCCAUCAACCUAAUUUUCUGCGUCGGACCAGGGACACACACACACACACGCCACCAGGCUAUUGGAGCAGCAUGAAUGGCAAGGAAGGAUGCUGCAGGCAAAUGGAACUACAACGAGUAAAUGGAUGCAGCUCAAGCUCUUGCUCUUGCUCAGAUAUAAUCGAUAGCCUUUGGUUGCUUAUAUAUAAGACUUUGCUAUCGUAUCCUCCACGAUUGAAGUGACCAUUGAGUGAGAGAACG